rnacentral:lncRNA from 1 species
CCCUUUUCAGUGUCUGGUGCAGAAAUUGCUCAGGACUUCAAAACAGAUCUGAGCUUCCAGAGUGCAGCUAUUGGUGCUUUGCAGGAGGCAAGUGAGGCCUAUCUGGUUGGCCUUUUUGAAGAUACCAAUCUGUGUGCUAUCCAUGCCAAACGUGUAUCAAUUAUGCCAAAAGAUAUCCAGCUAGCACACCGCAUACGCGGAGAACGUGCU